AGAACCGGCCUUAAACCAAGUGCGGGAUGCCAAGUGACGCCGAUGAUCGAAGAGGCCCCAACCCUGCCAUCUUUACACGCUUCCCCUUUCGAACCGACCGCAUACUCCCGUGCCCGAGUUCGGAUCCUCUACGGUGCGUCGCCAGGAAGAACUGUGCUUGCUCGAUGUCUCCGCUCUCCCUGUCUCUCUCCUGCCUCGCGAUGGCUCGAAUCCUCUCCCAAACCCUUAUCCGGCAGUCCCAAACACUAAUCCACGAUCCGGCCGGAGCGCGCCUUCUCGUGCCGCCGGCGGUCCACCUCGAGGGCCGCCGCGGCCGGGCGAGCCGGCCGGAGAAAGCCCAGCUCGUGGAGGUGGACCUGGAGACGGAGGCAGCCGGGCCGGACGCGGAGUUACUUGGGAUGCGCCGCCUCGAGGACGCCAUCCAUGGGAUUGUUGUUCGCAGAUCCGCCCCCGACUGGCUCCCCUUCAUCCCGGGUUCCUCCUACUGGGUGCCGCCGCGGAAGCGGCCCUACGGCGUCGUGGAGCUUAUCGGCAGGCUUGCGAACCCCAUGACGGAGGAGGAGACCCUCUCCCUCGCGAGCGUCCGUGGUUGGCCCUCGUCCACCUAUUUCGUGGAAGGUGAAGUUCCAACAUCUCAGAUCCCUUUGUUAUAUGGUUUGUUAUUGUUUUGUUGUAGGUACUUGACUCAUUGCUUUAUGGAUUAUAGGUGUAUCUCCACAUCCUGUGAAGAAUAGCCCAGAGAAGGCUGCUGCACAGUCUGAUGAUGAAGAAAGCUGACUGGUAUCUGAUUGACAGAAGCAGGGUUGAACCAUCUAUCUCUAACGUGCAGGCUAUGCAAGAAUGUGGGUAUUGGAUGGUGCCAAACCAUCCAGAACCUCAAUGCAAGUUGUACAUGUAGGCAGGGGAAGCUGGCGCUGCAUGGAAUGCCCAUGAAUUCCACAACUCCCCUUCACUUCAUUGCUUCAUAAAGAUCAAUGAUGUAAUUUAACUAUUUUAAUGUUCUCCGAGUGUAAUGUAAUAAAUUAUCAGAUUUUUCUGUAUUUGUCUUUGUGAUAUAAAUUGUGGUUUGCAUGUGAGAAGCAUGCAGGUGUUGGAUUCA